rnacentral:rRNA from 1 species
AGAGUUUGAUCAUGGCUCAGGAUGAACGCUAGCGGCAGGCCUAAUACAUGCAAGUCGAACGCUCAGUAGCAAUACUGGGAGUGGCGCACGGGUGCGUAACGCGUACACAAUCUACCUCUAAGCGGGGGACACCUCCUGGAAACGGGGAUUAAUACCGCAUAAUAUGCCGAAGUCGCAUGACUUUGGUAUUAAAGCAGCAAUGCACUUAGAGAUGAGUGCGCGUCCCAUUAGGUAGUUGGUGAGGUAACGGCUCACCAAGCCUAUGAUGGGUAGCCGGUCUGAGAGGAUGGUCGGCCACACGGGCACUGAGACACGGGCCCGACUCCUACGGGAGGCAGCAGUAAGGAAUAUUGGUCAAUGGUGGAAACACUGAACCAGCCAUGCCGCGUGGAGGAAUAAGGUCCUACGGAUUGUAAACUCCUUUUGACGAGGAAGAAAAUGUUAGAUUUAUCUAAUUUUGACGGUACUCGUAAAUAAGCACCGGCUAACUCCGUG